rnacentral:rRNA from 1 species
GACGAACGCUGGCGGCGUGCCUAAUACAUGCAAGUAGAACGCUGAAGAGAGGAGCUUGCUCUUCUUGGCUGAGUUGCGAACGGGUGAGUAACGCGUAGGUAACCUGCCUUGUAGCGGGGGAUAACUAUUGGAAACGAUAGCUAAUACCGCAUAACAAUGGAUGACACAUGUCAUUUAUUUGAAAGGGGCAAUUGCUCCACUACAAGAUGGACCUGCGUUGUAUUAGCUAGUAGGUGAGGUAAUGGCUCACCUAGGCGACGAUACAUAGCCGAUCUGAGAGGGUGAUCGGCCACACUGGGACUGAGACACGGCCCAGACUCCUACGGGAGGCAGCAGUAGGGAAUCUUCGGCAAUGGGGGCAACCCUGACCGAGCAACGCCGCGUGAGUGAAGAAGGUUUUCGGAUCGUAAAGCUCUGUUGUAAGUCAAGAACGGGUGUGAGAGUGGAAAGUUCACACUGUGACGGUAGCUUACCAGAAAGGGACGGCUAACUACGUG